rnacentral:rRNA from 1 species
AGUGAACGCUGGCGGUAGGCCUAACACGUGCAAGUCGAACGGCAGCACAGUAAGAGCUUGCUCUUACGGGUGGCGAGUGGCGGACGGGUGAGGAAUACAUCGGAAUCUACUUUUUCGUGGGGGAUAACGUAGGGAAACUUACGCUAAUACCGCACACGACCUACGGGUGAAAGCAGGGGAUCUUCGGACCUUGCGCGAUUGAAUGAGCCGAUGUCGGAUUAGCUAGUUGGCGGGGUAAAGGCCCACCAAGGCGACGAUCCGUAGCUGGUCUGAGAGGAUGAUCAGCCACACUGGAACUGAGACACGGUCCAGACUCCUACGGGAGGCAGCAGUGGGGAAUAUUGGACAAUGGGCGCAAGCCUGAUCCAGCCAUACCGCGUGGGUGAAGAAGGCCUUCGGGUUGUAAAGCCCUUUUGUUGGGAAAGAAAAGCAGCAGGUUAAUACCCCGCUGUUCUGACGGUACCCAAGGAAUAAGCACCGGCUAACUUCGUG